AGGUUACCGUAGGUGAACCUGCGGUAGGAUCAUUGUUGGUUUUGAGCCCACGAACUGUGCAGGGGAGGGGGCGAGCCCGACGUGGUCCGACUCGUCGCCUCCUCGAACCCCGCUCUCGCCGGCGUUUGGACUGGGGGCCAUGCUGCUUUGUCGUGCUUCGCUCCAGGCGGGUGUCGCGGCAGGGCUCGGGCCUCUGCAAGUCGUUCGCUUGCUGUUCGGGGUAUAUAAUCCAAGGGCGUGAUUGAGUGCCGUGCUCUGUGUUGUGGUGAUGUGGACGGCCCUUUUCCGACUGCGACAGGUGUGUCCGGCGACUUCGGUCCCUGGGCUGUCCUGCCCUGCUGCAUUUGGAAGGGGCCCCUUGGUUUCCCUUUGCAAGCCGGUUCCUCGAAAAGCGCCCGCGGCUGUCGCCGGAUUUUCGCCUCCGUGACGAGUUCGCGAGGCAGCUGCAACCCCCUUGUUGCGUUGCCAAGGAUAUAGUUGUGCUUCUCAUGAGUGUGAUGGUGGUGUGUUCGGGAGUGCAGUCGCGCAGGUCGCGGGGCAGGACCUCUCGUCGCCGUUCCCUCUCUCUCUUUGACGGCCUAUAUCCUUUUGGACGUGGCGGGGCGGGGGACAUCUCCCUUCUCCGGUGCCCACCCAUGAGGUCUCGCCCUCUGGACCACGGUGGCAUUGUGGGAUGGGUUUUUGUCACAAACACUCGAGACACUGCGGUGCAGUUCGCACCAAGGAUUUGUAAGAAAUAGCCGUGCGAUCCGUGCGUCAUGUGCGCGCUGGACCGUCGGUGCCAUGAGAAUACGACUCUCGGCAACGGAUAUCUCGGCUCUCGCCACGAUGAAGAAUGUAGCGAAAUGCGAUACUUAGUGUGAAUUGCAGAAUCCCGUGAAUCAUCGAGUCUUUGAACGCAAGUUGCGCCCGAGGCCUCGGCCGAGGGCACGCCUGCUUGGGCGUCGCACUUCAAAAUCGCUCUCCCCCUCGGUGCAUAGGCGGGAGCAGCGGAUAUGGCCGUCCGUCCCCAAAGGGGGUGCGGUCGGCUCAAAUGGGCACGAGGUCUGUCCCCUGUGUCACGACGAGCGGUGGCCCACGCGGGUUGGCGUUGGUUUGUGGCCGGCGGGUGCGGAUAUGUGUGGAACUUUAUCUUGGAGUUGUUGGCUUUUUGCCUAAUGUGCAGGCCGGACGGCUACCUUCCGCGUCCCC
rnacentral:rRNA from 2 species